UACGAAGGGGGCGAGCGUUGUUCGGAUUUACUGGGCGUAAAGGGCGCGCAGGCGGCCAUUCAAGUCAGGCGUGAAAGCCCCGGGCUUAACCUGGGAGGUGCGUCUGGGACUGGGUGGCUAGAGAUCGGGAGAGGAGAGUGGAAUUCCCAGUGUAGAGGUGAAAUUCGUAGAUAUUGGGAAGAACACCGGUGGCGAAGGCGGCGCUCUGGACCGAGACUGACGCUGAGGCGCGAAAGCGUGGGGAGCAAACAGG
rnacentral:rRNA from 1 species